ensembl:lncRNA novel transcript
GCGGGGCAGGAGGUGGUGGAGCCGGCGGUUGGCAUCGCUGGAGGCAGAGGGGACCAGGAGCGGGAGAAGCCGGGGCCGGAAAGGCAAACAAAGACUGGACUUACUCAUUGAGUGCAAAACACACAACAAAGGCUGAAGGCACUUCAAGCACUCGUGGUCCAAAGAUCGGGCAGAAAAAUUCAGAUGCAUCCUCACAAAGCAUCUGGAGUCAUUUCCUGUUUGGGCUAUUAUGGCAGUCCUGCUGCAAACAUGCUUGUGGCUGUCUUUGGAAUUAUGGCAGCAGCAAGUAAGAAGGUAAUGAUCCUGAGAAUCAGCACCCAAGACCAGUGGUCAGUCCAGCAGGAAAGAGAUAAAGGUGGCAUGGGACAAGCGCCACCCUCACCUCUGGGGACCAUCCCCCAGACACCAAGCAGGAAGACGAAGCUCAGGUCACAUUCAUCAUGGCUGAACUCCAGGUCACCUGUGGUGCAGAGAAAGUGGCUGGCUCAGAUGUCCAGGCCUGUUCAGCGAGUGCAGCUAGAGCUGGAGCCGGAAGCCGGGCAGCACCAUAUGCUGGGCUUUCACCAGAUAAUCAACUCCCAAUCCCUUCUGGGGCACCGUUUGAUGAAUAUGAAAUGCUUGGAUUUUUUCCUAAGCUAACAAAGGUUGGUGGGACUUUUCAAAUCUCCCAAGUCAAGGGAUAAAAUGGUGAAAUAAAGGCAUCAUACAAAUAA